GGGAGGGGAGAGGAGAAAAAUAAACAAAAAAUAAAUCUUAAAAAAAAAUAAAAUAAAAUCUAUUCUUGGAAAAAUUCCAAAGCCCUUUGCCCUCUGAGGCAGAAAUAAGAAUUCGCUGUGACGACUACAGCAAGCGAGAUUGGCUUGCCCUUGCGCCCACAGCCAUCUGGGACCGUUCUGGAAAGGAAGAGGCAUACCAGCUCAAAUGGCAGAAACCGUAUGGGGAACCCGGAGGCCCAAGUCUCGGCCUGAGGGCACCCACCUGCGCCCGCGGAGCUCCCAGUUUUGGUGGAGUGACUCAGCGAGCGGCCUCCCCUCCGCCCCCACCGCCUCCUCCACGGCCGGGCAGUUUCGAAAGAGCAGCCACAGGGUUUCCAGCUGCUUCUCGGAAGACAGACCAGGUUCUGAGCAGGGCGUUCGGCAGCCUGCAGGCCUCAGGCUGGCGGCGCCCGGGGGGGCGAUGGAAGGCUCAGAGGCCAAGCUCUGGUCCCAGUGGGGCGGCCCAUUCGAAAGCCAAACCUGGGUCGUGCCGAGGGGCCAGUGGGGAAGCCCCUUCUGGAAGGCCUGAGGUAAAUCCCUGCCCUCACCUGAGGUAAAUCCCAGCCCUGGCCUCAGGUAAAGCCCGGCC
rnacentral:lncRNA from 1 species